GGUAAAAUGACUGAUUAGAGUGAUAAAUUGUAAAUUUAUUUAUGAGGUAACUCUUUUACCA
rnacentral:tRNA from 1 species